GUUAAGCGACUAAGCGUACACGGUGGAUGCCCUGGCAGUCAGAGGCGAUGAAGGGCGUGCUAAUCUGCGAUAAGCGCCGGUAAGGUGAUAUGAACCGUUAUAACCGGCGAUACCCGAAUGGGGAAACCCAGUGUGACUCGUCACACUAUCAUUAACUGAAUCCAUAGGUUAAUGAGGCGAACCGGGGGAACUGAAACAUCUAAGUACCCCGAGGAAAAGAAAUCAACCGAGAUUCCCCCAGUAGCGGCGAGCGAACGGGGAGGAGCCCAGAGCCUGAAUCAGCAUGUGUGUUAGUGGAAGCGUCUGGAAAGGCGCGCGAUACAGGGUGACAGCCCCGUACACAAAAGCGCAUGUGCUGUGAGCUCGAUGAGUAGGGCGGGACACGUGGUAUCCUGUCUGAAUAUGGGGGGACCAUCCUCCAAGGCUAAAUACUCCUGACUGACCGAUAGUGAACCAGUACCGUGAGGGAAAGGCGAAAAGAACCCCGGCGAGGGGAGUGAAAAAGAACCUGAAACCGUGUACGUACAAGCAGUGGGAGCACCCUUCGGGGUGUGACUGCGUACCUUUUGUAUAAUGGGUCAGCGACUUAUAUUCUGUAGCAAGGUUAACCGAAUAGGGGAGCCGCAGGGAAACCGAGUCUUAAC
rnacentral:rRNA from 1 species